GUCUUUUGUUAUUUGACAUUGUCUAAACAGUUUAAAAAUUCCUCUAUAAUAUUGAGUUGAAGAAAAUCAUGAUGAAGCGAGGAAUCAUUCUUCUAAUGUUGGUGUCAUUGUUUGCUCUUUUUAACCAGACCUAUGGACAAAAGUUGUGUAGAUAUGGAGUCCAGUUGAUACCAGACUGUGGCAAUGAUACUUCAGUCUGCCGUGGAGAAAUUGCCAAAAAAUAUAGUGUCACGCCUGUAGAUUGCUAUUGUCAAGUUAAUCCAAUUAAUAUGGCCUUUUGCCAAUGUGAUGCUAUUUGUCCACCACCUGUGAAAGAAAAGAAGAUUUUGUCUCUUUAAUUUUAUGCUACACAAAUUAUCAUAUUGAUGAUUAAGGAUAAAUAAAUUGAUUAUGAAGUCUUAUGGAUUAGUAUAUCUCAAUGUAUUAGUUAUUAUGUUUUGGUUCAUGGAUUUUGUUUUUAAUA